GGGGGCGUAGUUUAAUGGCAAAAUUUCCGACUCCAGAUCGGACGCUGUGGGUUCGAAUCCUGCCGUCCCCA
rnacentral:tRNA from 1 species